CUGGAGUCACCAGGCACCACAGUCUCACGAAGGUUGCCUAACAGUCCCUUGGCUGGAGAGAGUCAGCAGUGAACAUGCUGUGCUGCUGUCCCAGGGCUCCAGGCCACAGCCUCAGGACCCCACAGAGGGAAAGCACUUGUGAACAAGUGAGAGACUCCACCUUGGCCAGGGGCAAGGUCACCAUCCACAGGCUGGAGACCCAAGAACGGGACUUGGACAAGGUGUCACUUCAAUCCUGCCAUGAAUUCAUUCGGCCAUUUCACCUCACUGUAACUCCUGGCCCAGGCAUCCAAGUGGCAGAUUCCUCAUCUCUACCCUGGGAGGGUCUCAGGACCCAUGGGAUGUUGCUCUUAAUACACAGAGGUACACACAACCUCUCCUCAGCUAACAAACUGGACUGAAAUGCUAGUAUUUCUAGGCGUCUCUUCUGAAAUUGAUCUCUAAUAUGAGGAUCCUCCUGUGCCCACCUGGUAGGAGCCACUAAGGACAAUUCAGAAUUUGAUCAAGGCUUUAUCCUCUAUCCAUCCUGCUGAGUCAUGAGUGGGACGCCAAUUCCAUGUCUCUCCACUGUUCCCUCACAGACUGGAAGUCGGGGGCUCAGAGCCUGGCAGAGGUCUGCACAGUGAGGACAGCACAGGCAGGCAUGCCCAACACCCUGAGGGAGGCCCUGGGACAGGCCUUCCUGGACAGCUGGCCCAUCAGCGGGCC
rnacentral:lncRNA from 1 species